rnacentral:rRNA from 1 species
GAGACUUUCUUAGUACCGCAGCUAACGCGUGAAGUUCGCCGCCUGGGGAGUACGGUCGCAAGAUUAAAACUCAAAGGAAUUGACGGGGACCCGCACAAGCGGUGGAUGAUGUGGAUUAAUUCGAUGCAACGCGAAAAACCUUACCUACCCUUGACAUGUCAGGAAGUCUGCUGAGAGGUGGAUGUGCCCGAAAGGGAACCUGAACACAGGUGCUGCAUGGCUGUCGUCAGCUCGUGUCGUGAGAUGUUGGUUAAGUCCCGCAACGAGCGCAACCCUUGUCAUUAAUUGCCAUCAUUCAGUUGGGCACUUUAAUGAGACUGCCGGUGACAAACCGGAGGAAGGUGGGGAUGACGUCAAGUCCUCAUGGCCCUUAUGGGUAGGGCUUCACACGUCAUACAAUGGUCGGUACAGAGGGUUGCCAACCGCGAGGGGGAGCCAAUCCCACAAAGCCGAUCGUAGUCCGGAUCGCAGUCUGCAACUCGACUGCGUGAAGUCGGAAUCGCUAGUAAUCGUGGA